CCGUCCCUGUGUUGGGAUGUUUCACCUCCAAGCUUCGGACAUCUUAUCUCGAUAUAUAUCCCUGUGCUCGGUUCCACUAUUACCCGACAGUCCCGACGUUUGUACUUUCGGUGGCACCGAGAAGGAAAUGAUGGAAUUCUUCAACCAACCAAUGCACUUUUUCUUACUGGCAUAGACUGCCGCAAAUCCCGAGCUAGCAAGCCAGAUCAAUUUUGACAUAUAUAGCCUUCCUGCUUCAUCGUUGGAACGACCCAAGCCAUGGCAUUCUACGGGAUUAAGAUACGUUCAAAGAUACGUCGACAUUAUGACAACCAGAUCAUGCAUGGUAUGUCCCGUACCCGCAGUUUCCGCUCAAGAAAAGUUUACCGGCGUUAUUAGUGUCGCCAAUCGAAUAACUUACGGAAAGUGAAUCUUGUUUGUUAUUGCUGAAUUCCUGUAUAGAAUAACAUUCUAUCACUAGAAAAAAAAAUACAAGGCUCUGUUACGCAACGAAUGUGAUUCCUGAAAUUACACUAGAGGAUAAAUCGAUCUGGGAUGAUGGAAGAAAAACGCUGGAUGAGGAAGUUCUCCGGGUGUACACCGUUGAGAUUAUCAGCCGGACGCGGCUAAUGGACAACGAAAUUAAGAUUAUGCAGAGUGAGGCCAUAAGGUUUACGCACGAACUGCAAAAACAGAACGAAAAUUUUAAGGACACCGAAAAUACUUCCCUAUCUGAUGUCGAAUGUGAUCGAGCUGCUGAAUGUGGAUCCCCAGGAAGAGGAAGACAAUUUCCCUGUCGUUGUCUGGAAUCACACAAGAAAGGCAAAUGGGCUGUUUUCAAAACAUCCACGAUACGAAAACGUCUUGAUAUUGAUAAUUUGCUCGAAAAACUAAAGGUGCAUACCAAAGAAUACACUCUUGAGAAGGCCAGUAGGCUCACAGUGCCUCGCCCUAUACUCAUAGGCAGAUGUACCAAACUGGUACUGUUAAGUAAUUGACGAUUCCCGUAACCAUUUCGCUCUUCUCCGCAUAAAUUUCUUGUGGUUCAAAAGUAACCAUAUUCUCACUUCUCAAGAGAAGUCAAAAAAUGACUUCUAUGCGAAAAACCAAAAAAUUACUUAACGCGGAAAGGUGUGAAAAUGCAUCAUCAGCAACAGCUGAUUUGAAAAUUCCACGUCACCAUUCCGUUUCUCCGGUUGAUCCGCCCCGAAAUGAGUGUUCCUAAUAGAGUAAUUAACUUUGGAAAGGCUUGUCCGGUGUCCAAUAACUGUUCUACGUCGAUAUAGAUCUGACUGAGAAGCAAGAAGAGGGUAUCAAGUGCAUAGAAACUAUCACAACAAGAUCGGCACCAAAUGGAGGAGGUCAAGGAAGUAACGCUGGAAUUUCACCAGCGACAAAGAGGACGGCGGAUUCGGCAACCGAAAAACACCUUUAGAUCAGCAGUGGCCCCGUACUGGAUAGCAAUACAUCUAUCAAUGGACGCAAUACUCAACCAGUGUCUCACUCAUUGUUAUUUUUACUAGAAAGUGUUGGAUAUCAAAACCACAUACGAAUUCAGUAAUGUAUGAUUGGUUUUAUUAUUUCAUCAUUGAGGGAAGAUUCCACGUAUAAUACAACUCGCUCAGAGCGAGAAGAAAAAUGCAAAAAAAAUUGAAUGGUUACUCUACUUAACGACCCGUUCACUGUAUCGUAAAGAUGGUAUUAUUAUGUGGCAUGUGAUUAUAUGAUAGAAGAAUAAAUAUUAAACUGAGAGUUUGUAAAUAUAUUCCAAACUAUUUUCUGAAUAUAACUAUUUCAUAUGGUUGAGCUUUUAAAACAUUGUGCGGUUAGUGCUUUUGUUCUUUAU